rnacentral:rRNA from 1 species
GACGAACGCUGGCGGCGUGCCUAAUACAUGCAAGUAGAACGCUGACGGAGGAGCUUGCUCUUCUGGCUGAGUUGCGAACGGGUGAGUAACGCGUAGGUAACCUGCCUGGUAGCGGGGGAUAACUAUUGGAAACGAUAGCUAAUACAGUAUAACAUUGACUCUUGCAUGAUAGUCAAUUAAAAGGUGCAAAUGCCCCACUACCAGAUGGACCUGCUUUGUAUUCGCUAGUUGGUGGGGUAACGGCUCACCAAAGCGAACAUACAUAUCCUCCCUGGGAGGGGGAUCGGGCACAAUGGGACUGGGACAAGGCCCAGAAUCCUACGGGAGGCAGCAGGAGGGAAACUUCGGCAAUUGACGGAAGUCUUACCGAACAACGCCGCGGGAGUGAAGAAGGUUUUCGGAUCGUAAAACUCUGUUGUAAGAGAAGAACGAGUGUGAGGGUGGAAAGUUCACGCUGUGACGGUAUCUUACCAGAAAGGGACGGCUAACUACGUG